UUCCUACUAUCUGAGUUGGUCUAAUAAAAGAGAUGAGAUUUACCCAAAGAACCUUGUCUGUCUAUGGAGACAUGCAACUUAUAACAACACUUGAGGAGUUACUAAUAAACUAUGAAGAGGAAAGUGGAAUUCCAUAUGCAUGAAGGGGAAAGUGACCUCGGGCAGGGGGUCAGCACAAAGUCAAUGCACCAGGCAUAAAACCCAGGAAAAUCCACCAGGAAAUCAACUAUUGCUGUCUGAGGCUUCAAGUCUGAUGUUCAGACUGGCCUAUUUUUGUUUGUCUCCCCAUCGAGAUCCAACCCUUGCGAUGCUGGUACGAAGAACGGUUUGUUGGACGAGAGCCAAAAAGGGGAUGCCUUUGUGCCUCCUUGAUCCCUGGAUAUACUGGGAGCCCUCAGCAUGCUUUGUGAAAAUCUCAGGGUUAUUCUAAUUAGCACAAAAUAGUAAUGGCCCCUGGGGAGGUUUUAUUCUAGCUGGAGAUUGCUGGAGCACAAAGAUAUUCUGAUCAUGUUCCUUUCCUUUCAUUAUGUCCAGUACAUUAUAGAUCGUGGGAGAUGGGUGGCAUAAAGCCAGCUCUCUGUCACUAAGGGAAGUCCCCCAGUGGGUAUUACAAUUGCAGUGCACUGUUGGAACAACGUAAAGAGGCCAGGAUCUGAUCCGAUCUGACAUGUAAGUGCAAACAUAUACUUUAUAUAGUCAUUAUAACAUAGUAAAAAACCUGCCGUGGAAUAGCAGGGCUUAUAAACCUGCACCAGGCAUACUACAGCAUCAGACUUUUAAAGAGAUAAGUCUUGUUCAUUCACGGUUACCCUUUCCAUUUCUCACCUUUCUAAUUCCCACAAAUGCUUCUGUUCACAAACAUCUCAAUGCUGCAGCACUGACAACACGCUGAAUUACUCUAGUGCGCUUUGCAGAGAGAGGGCACGGAUGAGUAGACAAACCCUCUAAGUACAAAACCAGGGGAACAGAUGGUUGUGACAAGGCGCUUAUUUUUGCACAAUAAGUGUUAGUGGACUCCCCCGAGAUCUGACGUAUGCUGGAGAAGCUGCUAAAUGGCCGCAGUGAGUCAGCUGCGGCACUGAUAAGAAAUAAAACUUUUCUUAUUCAUACGUGCAAGCCAAGUCCUUCUGUUUUAUCCCACGCUUAACCCUUUGGUGGAAUUCCCUGCUGAUGGGGGCUCAGAUAGCUGCUUUCCUGGGGCACAGGAAAGCCAACAGAACUCCCCUUGGACCUUGGUUGAAUCAUAGGAAAUAGCGUUUAGCUAGGUAGGGGGAUACUUGCUCAGACAUACAGAACAACAUAGCUGGUGCUGUAGUGGGGUAGACCAGUGGGCCAUCUAGUUCUAUAUCAAGCCUCUAACAGUGGCCAGUACUAGCUGUUUAAGAGGAGGAUGAAAGAAGAAACCCUACAGUAGGCAGUUGCUGUCCACAGCUAUCACUUGUCCCCAGAGAAAGUUUCCUGACAGCUCCAACAAGUGAGAGGUUAGAGUAAUUUUGGAGCAAUUUUGAAGUUGUAUUUCUCUUCCAAAGUGCCGCUGUUGGGGUUCCUCCGAGCAUUCGGUUCUUCCGUGAAUGCAGUGUUGGUUACAUUGCUCACCUUCAAGAGAAGGAAGGAAGUUGUCCUUCCUGCUGUGUGUUAACAGGGACAUUUGUGUGAACAGGGACACCAGCCUUUAUCUUGCACCUCUUGUGUCAAGAAGAGGUUCGCCAUUGAGUUCAGGAUGCAGCGGGCUGGCUCUCCUUUUAAGCAUCCUAUAGAACAAAGUGAGCACAAACCACUUCAUCCUUGCAGAUGGACUGAGCUAGGUGGGGAGAAGCUGAGUAGUUUUAAAAUCAAGGGCCCUAAAUUUAUCUUGCAGGCGGGUGCUGUGCAUACUUUCACCCAAUCCCUCGACUGGUGACAUGGUAGGUUGAAUCAUUCAUUCACAGCAACUGAGAAGUGUGUGGCUUUAAAAUGUAGUCCUCUCAUAAAUGGUGAUGAAUGGCUGUCCUAGGGCACAUAUACACUUCCUCCGUGCCUAGCCUAGGAAUGCUGCAGUGAAGCACGACUCACUCGACUCUGCUCCGAUUGCCCCCGCACCGUUCUUAAGCUCCCCGUCUCAGACACGCUUAAUGUCAUCCAGUCACCACUGCUGCAAGGUGACUACGCUGCCUCAUUUCCAGGAUUUGGUAUGUGCAAAGCCAGACACUGCACAAAGGUGGGACAGGCAUGCUCUUGCAGAGCUCUAGUGUGGAUAACAUUUGGUUGCUUCCCUAAAACCCUUGGGUCUGCAAUGUCAACCUGGAAAUCUUGUCUGGACAAGAUUGGGUGAGAUUUCUGGCAUCCCCUUCAGGUUAAGGUUUGGCUAGGUCUCUCUUAUCAGAUCUUGACACUUCUGGUCCCAGCUUCACUCAGGAACUGCUGGAGGCCUGAAAACACCCUUAUUAAAAGACAGUCCUCUUUCAAAUUUCUGAGAAUGUUGGUCUGUUGGAAGAAGAUUGCUUUUAAAAAUAAGAUUUAUCCAAAUUGCUUUGUGUAUCCCUAUCUGUGACGUCCACUCACAGCAGCAAAAGUGGCCUCUGACUGGGUGAAGAGCAAAACUAUAAGUCUGCCGGACAGGAAACAAUUAGCAUGCGGCUGAGGAACAUAUUGGUAGUUAGAUACUACCUCAGCCUUGUUGAAGAACAAUAAGUCACCCAGCAGUGUGAGAGACUCAGUCCAGGUCUACACUGGAAACUUGGCUCAUGCAGUACCAUUGAUCAGAGGGAUGUUUCGUUUUACAAUAUGCACAUAGCAGCAAAAGCUGUACAUAUCAGCAAAAAAGUUCUUUUGGGCUGGUUAAAGUUACAUCUUUAACGCUAGAAGAUUUAACUGGUGCGGCAAUACACCAGCCAACAUUUUCAGGCGUAGGUAAGGCCUGGUACGUGUGUGGACUUAGGAAGUCUGCAGAAUUCAAAGCUUUUAUCAUUUCACAUUGUCAAGUUUGUGCCCUUCAAAUUUUCUUAGUAACUCUUGGUUGACUGGAUGACUACUCUAGACUUGGUGUUCAAGUUGCUUUAGAGCCAGUUUUAAAGCUCAUAUGAGCAACGCUCAAAAAUGGAAAUGAGAUGACCUGUUUGACAUUUACAGCAAUUAAUCAUUGGAAGAGAUUGCUGAAAAGAUGUAAAUUCUCCACCUUUUGUUGUCAUUAAAUGUAGUCCAGACGCCUUUCUAAGAAAUGCUCUAAUUCAACUGCGUGCUACAGGAGUAGCACCAUGCUAGACGUGCAUUCUGGCUUUAAAAUCUAUGAAUGCUACUCAAAAAUCAGCUACUAAUUUUUAGGACCAGAUCCUGAUUCUAUUAGUAGUCCUGUUGAAUAGUACCCAGCUGAAUAUAAUCAUUUUCCCCUUGAUUAU